CGUAUACUUUGAGAUAUAGGUGCUUUACGCUUAAUAGGGAAUCAGGUGAAAUGCCUGAACUGUCCCCGCAACUGUAUUUGCCGACGAAACUUUGGCUAAACCACUGUAUAAUCAGAUGGCUCUAUUGCUGUUUAUUAUAUGGGAAGGUUCGAGUGGAGGAUGACGCAAAAGUCAGUAGACCUGCCGAUAUCUCUUACAUUGU
rnacentral:ncRNA from 2 species